rnacentral:rRNA from 1 species
UGGGGAAUAUUGCGCAAUGGGCGAAAGCCUGACGCAGCAACGCCGUGUGAGGGAUGAAGGCUUUCGGGUCGUAAACCUCUGUCAGAAGGGAAGAACGGGCAUUGGUCUAAUAGGCCUUUGUUUUGACGGUACCUUCAGAGGAAGCACCGGCUAACUCCGUGCCAGCAGCCGCGGUAAUACGGAGGGUGCAAGCGUUAUUCGGAAUUACUGGGCGUAAAGCGCACGUAGGCCGCUUUGUAAGUCAGGGGUGAAAUCCCACGGCUCAACCGUGGAACUGCCCUUGAAACUGCGAAGCUUGAAUCCUGGAGAGGGUGGCGGAAUUCCUGGUGUAGGAGUGAAAUCCGUAGAUAUCAGGAGGAACACCGGUGGCGAAGGCGGCCACCUGGACAGGUAUUGACGC